rnacentral:rRNA from 1 species
UUAAGUUAUUAAGGGCGCACGGUGGAUGCCUUGGCACUAGAAGCCGAUGAAGGACGUUACUAACGACGAUAUGCUUUGGGGAGCUGUAAGUAAGCUUUGAUCCAGAGAUUUCCGAAUGGGGAAACCCAGCAUGAGUUAUGUCAUGUUAUCGAUAUGUGAAUACAUAGCAUAUCAGAAGGCACACCCGGAGAACUGAAACAUCUUAGUACCCGGAGGAAGAGAAAGAAAAUUCGAUUCCCUUAGUAGCGGCGAGCGAAACGGGAAGAGCCCAAACCAACAAGCUUGCUUGUUGGGGUUGUAGGACACUCUAUACGGAGUUACAAAGGACGACAUUAGACGAAUCAUCUGGAAAGAUGAAUCAAAGAAGGUAAUAAUCCUGUAGUCGAAAAUGUUGUCUCUCUUGAGUGGAUCCUGAGUACGACGGAGCACGUGAAAUUCCGUCGGAAUCUGGGAGGACCAUCUCCUAAGGCUAAAUACUCUCUAGUGACCGAUAGUGAACCAGUACCGUGAGGGAAAGGUGAAAAGCACCCCGGAAGGGGAGUGAAAUAGAACCUGAAACCGUGUGCUUACAAGUAGUCAGAGCCCGUUAAUGGGUGAUGGCGUGCCUUUUGUAGAAUGAACCGGCGAGUUACGAUUUGAUGCAAGGUUAAGCAGUAAAUGUGGAGCCGUAGCGAAAGCGAGUCUGAAUAGGGCAUUUAGUAUUUGGUCGUAGACCCGAAACCAGGUGAUCUACCCUUGGUCAGGUUGAAGUUCAGGUAACACUGAAUGGAGGACCGAACCGACUUACGUUGAAAAGUGAGCGGAUGAACUGAGGGUAGCGGAGAAAUUCCAAUCGAACCUGGAGAUAGCUGGUUCUCUCCGAAAUAGCUUUAGGGCUAGCCUCAAGUGAUGAUUAUUGGAGGUAGAGCACUGUUUGGACGAGGGGCCCCUCUCGGGUUACCGAAUUCAGACAAACUCCGAAUGCCAAUUAAUUUAACUUGGGAGUCAGAACAUGGGUGAUAAGGUCCGUGUUCGAAAGGGAAACAGCCCAGACCACCAGCUAAGGUCCCAAAAUAUAUGUUAAGUGGAAAAGGAUGUGGCGUUGCCCAGACAACUAGGAUGUUGGCUUAGAAGCAGCCAUCAUUUAAAGAGUGCGUAAUAGCUCACUAGUCGAGUGACACUGCGCCGAAAAUGUACCGGGGCUAAACAUAUUACCGAAGCUGUGGAUUGUCCUUUGGACAAUGGUAGGAGAGCGUUCUAAGGGCGUUGAAGCAUGAUCGUAAGGACAUGUGGAGCGCUUAGAAGUGAGAAUGCCGGUGUGAGUAGCGAAAGACGGGUGAGAAUCCCGUCCACCGAUUGACUAAGGUUUCCAGAGGAAGGCUCGUCCGCUCUGGGUUAGUCGGGUCCUAAGCUGAGGCCGACAGGCGUAGGCGAUGGAUAACAGGUUGAUAUUCCUGUACCACCUAUAAUCGUUUUAAUCGAUGGGGGGACGCAGUAGGAUAGGCGAAGCGUGCGAUUGGAUUGCACGUCUAAGCAGUAAGGCUGAGUAUUAGGCAAAUCCGGUACUCGUUAAGGCUGAGCUGUGAUGGGGAGAAGACAUUGUGUCUUCGAGUCGUUGAUUUCACACUGCCGAGAAAAGCCUCUAGAUAGAAAAUAGGUGCCCGUACCGCAAACCGACACAGGUAGUCAAGAUGAGAAUUCUAAGGUGAGCGAGCGAACUCUCGUUAAGGAACUCGGCAAAAUGACCCCGUAACUUCGGGAGAAGGGGUGCUCUUUAGGGUUAACGCCCAGAAGAGCCGCAGUGAAUAGGCCCAAGCGACUGUUUAUCAAAAACACAGGUCUCUGCUAAACCGUAAGGUGAUGUAUAGGGGCUGACGCCUGCCCGGUGCUGGAAGGUUAAGAGGAGUGGUUAGCUUCUGCGAAGCUACGAAUCGAAGCCCCAGUAAACGGCGGCCGUAACUAUAACGGUCCUAAGGUAGCGAAAUUCCUUGUCGGGUAAGUUCCGACCCGCACGAAAGGCGUAACGAUUUGGGCACUGUCUCAACGAGAGACUCGGUGAAAUCAUAGUACCUGUGAAGAUGCAGGUUACCCGCGACAGGACGGAAAGACCCCGUGGAGCUUUACUGUAGCCUGAUAUUGAAAUUCGGCACAGCUUGUACAGGAUAGGUAGGAGCCUUUGAAACGUGAGCGCUAGCUUACGUGGAGGCGCUGGUGGGAUACUACCCUAGCUGUGUUGGCUUUCUAACCCGCACCACUUAUCGUGGUGGGAGACAGUGUCAGGCGGGCAGUUUGACUGGGGCGGUCGCCUCCUAAAAGGUAACGGAGGCGCUCAAAGGUUCCCUCAGAAUGGUUGGAAAUCAUUCAUAGAGUGUAAAGGCAUAAGGGAGCUUGACUGCGAGACCUACAAGUCGAGCAGGGUCGAAAGACGGACUUAGUGAUCCGGUGGUUCCGCAUGGAAGGGCCAUCGCUCAACGGAUAAAAGCUACCCCGGGGAUAACAGGCUUAUCUCCCCCAAGAGUUCACAUCGACGGGGAGGUUUGGCACCUCGAUGUCGGCUCAUCGCAUCCUGGGGCUGUAGUCGGUCCCAAGGGUUGGGCUGUUCGCCCAUUAAAGCGGUACGCGAGCUGGGUUCAGAACGUCGUGAGACAGUUCGGUCCCUAUCCGUCGUGGGCGUAGGAAAUUUGAGAGGAGCUGUCCUUAGUACGAGAGGACCGGGAUGGACAUACCUCUGGUGUACCAGUUGUCGUGCCAACGGCAUAGCUGGGUAGCUAUGUGUGGACGGGAUAAGUGCUGAAAGCAUCUAAGCAUGAAGCCCCCCUCAAGAUGAGAUUUCCCAACUUCGGUUAUAAGAUCCCUCAAAGAUGAUGAGGUUAAUAGGUUCGAGGUGGAAGCAUGGUGACAUGUGGAGCUGACGAAUACUAAUCGAUCGAAGACUUAAUCAA